rnacentral:rRNA from 1 species
UACGUAGGGUCCAAGCGUUGUCCGGAUUUAUUGGGCGUAAAGAGCUCGUAGGCGGCUCAGUAAGUCGGAUGUGAAAACUCGGGGCUCAACCCCGAGACGCCAUCCGAUACUGCUGUGGCUUGAGUCUGGUAGGGGAACACGGAAUUCCUGGUGUAGCGGUGAAAUGCGCAGAUAUCAGGAGGAACACCGAUGGCGAAGGCGUUCCGCUGGGCCGUUGCUGACGCUGAGGCGCGACAGCGUGGGGAGCAAACAGG